UGAGGAAUAUUGGUCAAUGGACGAGAGUCUGAACCAGCCAAGUCGCGUUCAGGAUGACGGCCCUAUGGGUUGUAAACUGCUUUUGUUUGGGAAUAAUCGACAUUACGUGUAAUGUUUUGCAUGUACCAUUCGAAUAAGGACCGGCUAAUUCCGUGCCAGCAGCCGCGGUAAUACGGAAGGUCCAGGCGUUAUCCGGAUUUAUUGGGUUUAAAGGGAGUGUAGGCGGUUGGUUAAGCGUGUUGUGAAAUGUAGAUGCUCAACAUCUGACUUGCAGCGCGAACUGGCUGACUUGAGUACACACAACGUAGGCGGAAUUCAUGGUGUAGCGGUGAAAUGCUUAGAUAUCAUGAAGAACUCCGAUUGCGAAGGCAGCUUACGGGAGUGUUACUGACGCUUAAGCUCGAAGGUGCGGGUAUCGAACAGG
rnacentral:rRNA from 1 species